AAAUCCCAAAUUCUGGAAAGCACUACUUCCCACGCAGUAAAGGGAAGCCCGGGCGCCUCAAAACCAAACCUUGGAAGACGCUGGAGGAGCAAAGCCUGCAAGUUUCCAUCCACAGCCUCGAAGCCAUGGGUUCUCCCCGGCCCUCUGAAGCCGCCACACCUGUGCCAGCCGGCCGCGUCCUCAGACCUUUCCCCGCGGAGUCUUCCCAGCACUUGGAGACGCAGCGCAGGGCCCCGAGGACGGCCUGGCCCGGAGAAAAGAUACCGAAGCUCCAACUUUCCCCAACCCCGCUCCCCUCCUCCUUCCACCCUCCCUUCCCGCCCCCAAAGCUCGGGGGUCCUAUCCCUCCUCCGGUCCGCGGAGUCUCCCGAACCCUGCGGGGACCCGGCGCUCGGCGGUGCCCUCCUGGGGCGCACGGGGCUGGGGCGGGAGCGAGGAGACCAGGUGGGGAGGGGACCCCAGAUCUCAGACGCCAGGGGAGACGGCGUUUCCCGCUGUUCAUUCAGGUUUGUGCCAAAAGGAGCCUCACAGAUGCAGUAUUGGGUUUGGUAGACUCAAAUCGUCUUGUUUUAAUGUAAAUGAAAUCCUUCGACCCAGGCACGAGCGCCCAUCGCGGAGGCCACGAUGCCCGUUUUAUUCCCUCUCCACGGCAAGGAAAAGCAGCGAAAUCUGAGGUCUUCAGAGGUUAACCCUAUCUAGGAGCAGAAUGUGACGCAUUGUAAACAAAUAAAUAUUGAAAACUCGAUGUUAAA